CAAGUGGGAGAUGAAGAAUAACCAUGUGGUUCUCCCAUUAGGAAGGAUCUUAGAUAACAACCAGCAGACUUAUCAUUUCAUUUUUAGGAUAAACUCAACUGGGAAGAGUACUCCUGUCAUGGAUCCUCAGAUGAACAAGCACUUAUAAAGGCUACUGACAAUAUUUCUUAAUCAAAAAGAAUCUACUUUACUAUCAAGUUUCAAGCUCGAGCAUCCAACAUACCUCCAUAUACUAACUGCCUGCUCCAUCCAUCCUACCUUUUACACUGCUGAAAAAAACUCCAGGAGGAAAGGACCUUGUUUGUCUUGUUCACUACUAUAUCCCCAUGGAUGCCUAGAAUAGUACCUGCAAUAAACGUGUUGCCUGAAUAA